CAGCAAGUCAGGAUGAAGGCCAGAAGUCACUGUCCAUCCACCCUUAGGAGUAAACUCGCAAUGCUGCUGAGACUUCUCAUUUGAGAGCUUGCCGAAGAUUCAUGGGAAAAAGGAAUGCAAUCUAACACCUGUGCUUCAUUCAACUGUAUUGGAGGUUAUGAGGGACUUCAACAUGUGGUGACCGUGUGUGAAGAAUGGCAAAGGAAAGCUUGAAUCAUGGAAAAGAUAAGUUAUUCCAGAUAACUUAGGAAGAAGAACAAUAAAAAUGACACACUCUUUCCUUGCAGACAGAAAGAAUUUUGUGAAAAUAAUCAACCAGUGGUAAAUUAACAGCUAAUUGAAAAAUCAAGUUUUGGUACAAUAUUUUUUAUCUUUUUAUUUCAUGUGAAUUUAAGGCA